UACGUAGGGGCAAGCGGUUGGUCCAGGAAUUCUCGAAUUGGGUCGGUAAAGAAGGCGUGUAGGCGGCCCGGUAAGUCUGUUGUGAAAGUCCAGGGCUCAACCCUGGAAUGCCGAUGGAUACUGCCGGGCUAGAGUUCGGAAGAGGCGAGUGGAAUUCCUGGUGUAGCGGUGGAAUGCGCAGAUAUCAGGAGGAACACCUAUAGCGAAGGCAGCUCGCUGGGACGACACUGACGCUGAGACGCGAAAGCGUGGGGAGCGAACAGG
rnacentral:rRNA from 1 species